rfam:Erinaceus europaeus unplaced genomic scaffold scaffold00096, whole genome shotgun sequence
GGCUGUGAGGGAGAUCUGGCUGCGACAUCUGUCACCCCAUUGAUCACCAGGACUGACUUGGCUGAUCUGGCUGGCUAGGCAGGUGUCCCCUUCCUCCCUCACUGCUCCAUGUGUGUCUCUCCCAAAGCUUUGUGCUUGGUGGAAGAGGACAGCCUUCCCCCAACAGAGACUCAUCUUCAGUCGAGGGUAGCUGCGCUCCCUUGCUAGAACCUCCAAGCAAGCUCUCAAGAAAAGGAAUCCCGUACCACCAUAAACCAAAGCUGAACAAUGCUCUGGU